GCAAACUUGGUCAUUUAGAGGAAGUAAAAGUCGUAACAAGGUUUCCGUAGGUGAACCUGCGGAAGGAUCAUUAUCGAAUGAACUUGGCUUGCUGUUGCUGGUCCUCUCGGGGGCAUGUGCACGCUUGUCAUCUUUAUUUCUCCACCUGUGCACUUUUGUAGAACUGGGAAAUAACACUUAUCUGAGCGAGGAUUAACUCACUCGGGAUGUGGAGAUUGCUGCUGCGUCGUAAGGAAGCCCAGCUCUCUUCUAGAUGGUUUUCCAGGUCUACGAUUUUUCAUACACCCAAUGAAAUGUAACAGAAUGUUAUCACUAGGUCUUUGUACCUAUAAAACUAUUAUACAACUUUCAGCAACGGAUCUCUUGGCUCUCGCAUCGAUGAAGAACGCAGC
rnacentral:misc_RNA from 1 species